CAGGCCUAACACAUGCAAGUCGAACGCCCCGCAAGGGGAGUGGCAGACGGGUGAGUAACACGUGGGAACGUACCCUUUGGUUCGGAACAACCCUGGGAAACUAGGGCUAAUACCGGAUACGCGCGAGAGCGGAAAGGUUUACCGCCGAAGGAUCGGCCCGCGUCUGAUUAGCUAGUUGGUGAGGUAACGGCUCACCAAGGCGACGAUCAGUAGCUGGUCUGAGAGGAUGGUCAGCCACAUUGGGACUGAGACACGGCCCAAACUCCUACGGGAGGCAGCAGUGGGGAAUAUUGGACAAUGGGCGCAAGCCUGAUCCAGCCAUACCGCGUGAGUGAUGACGGCCCUAGGGUUGUAAAGCUCUUUUACCUGGGAAGAUAAUGACGGUAUCAGGAGAAUAAGCCCCGGCUAACUUCGUGCCAGCAGCCGCGGUAAU
rnacentral:rRNA from 1 species